CUUGAACGCUGGCGGCAUGCCUUACACAUGCAAGUCGAACGGCAGCAUGAUCUAGCUUGCUAGAUUGAUGGCGAGUGGCGAACGGGUGAGUAAUACAUCGGAACGUGCCCUGUAGUGGGGGAUAACUAGUCGAAAGAUUAGCUAAUACCGCAUACGACCUGAGGGUGAAAGUGGGGGACCGCAAGGCCUCAUGCUAUAGGAGCGGCCUAUGUCUGAUUAGCUAGUUGGUGAGGUAAAGGCUCACCAAGGCGACGAUCAGUAGCUGGUCUGAGAGGACGAUCAGCCACACUGGGACUGAGACACGGCCCAGACUCCUACGGGAGGCAGCAGUGGGGAAUUUUGGACAAUGGGGGCAACCCUGAUCCAGCAAUGCCGCGUGUGUGAAGAAGGCCUUCGGGUUGUAAAGCACUUUUGUCCGGAAAGAAAUCGCACCUACUAAUAUUAGGUGUGGAUGACGGUACCGGAAGAAUAAGGACCGGCUAACUACGUGCCAGCAGCCGCCGUAAUAC
rnacentral:rRNA from 1 species